rnacentral:rRNA from 1 species
UACGUAGGGGCAAGCGUUGUCCGGAAUCAUUGGGCGUAAAGAGCGUGUAGGCGGCUCGAUAAGUCUGCUGUGAAAGUCCAGGGCUCAACCCUGGAAGGCCGGUGGAAACUGUCGGGCUAGAGUCCGGAAGAGGCGAGUGGAAUUCCCGGUGUAGCGGUGAAAUGCGCAGAUAUCGGGAGGAACACCAAUGGCGAAGGCAGCUCGCUGGGACGGUACUGACGCUGAGACGCGAAAGCGUGGGGAGCAAACAGGG